rnacentral:rRNA from 1 species
UACGAAGGGUGCAAGCGUUAAUCGGAAUUACUGGGCGUAAAGCGUGCGUAGGUGGUCUUUUAAGUCCGUUGUGAAAGCCCUGGGCUCAACCUGGGAAUGGCAGUGGAUACUGGAAGGCUGGAGUACGGUAGAGGAGGGUGGAAUUCCCGGUGUAGCAGUGAAAUGCGUAGAUAUCAAGUGGAACACCAGUGGCGAAGGCGAGUCUCUGGACAUUUCCUGACGCUGAGGCACGAAAGCCAGGGGAGCAAACGGG